UAACUCACUAAGUUAAGAUUAUGUCUGUCUGUGCCAUUACUAACAUACAAUACAGGGAUACCGUCUAAUAGACACAUAUGCAGACCAGGAACUGCUCAAGAUCAGUGAUCUUAUGCAUCAUGCAAGCAGAGGUGGCAAACAUGAGGUACAGCUGAAAAUGACUGUUAGGAACAGAAAGAUUAAUUACUUGUUGCGGGCAUAAGAUCCACAGGCUGCCGUGGAUCUCAUACUUCCAGAGAGUCGAGAGCUACUGCAGUGAAGACAACACUUCCAACAGUAAAUAAGUAUGAAAACAUCACGUGAAAGCUGACUUGAUUUCAGUCAAACUCACAACAGCACAAUCCUGUAGAUGGAGCCGGACUCCGUACAGAACACUUAACCCUGAAGAACUAGCAUCAAUUUUCAUAACUUAUGUAAAGAUGCCUUAUGCAUUCAGAUAUUACAUUUCUUCUAGCCACUGUGAUUUAAUGGAUGUGAACACAGCUGGAGAAGACUCUGACUAGCAUUGUUUAAGAUGAAAACAUAACUGUUAUGUUCAAGUUGAUGGUAAACUCAUCAUGCAACUGAAAAAACUACAUUAAAUAAUAUUAUCAGCAUCAAAACACGCACUCAGUUCUACUAUUACAGCUGAUACUGUUUCAAGAAAGUCUUUAACAAUACACGGAGUUAAAAAAAAACCCUGAGACUCACCUUUCCUUUUGUUGUUUAAUACAGAACACCACUUACCAGAACCAUACAUCAGGGUUCCUGAAGCGACUGUGGAAUACACUGUGAGUACACUGGGAACUACUUAAUCUAUUCUCCUUUAAUAUUGGACAUAUGAGUUUUGAAGAGAAGAUAUGCUGCAGCUCAGAAAAAUAAGUUACCUUUUACAGUAAGUGUUCCUACAAAGAACAGUCUACGCACUCAAUUUACUUGCAGCACUUUACUUGUUUUUGGCCUGCUGAAAUGGACAAGCAAAAAACAUUUUAUUUUAGUGACACAAAACGGUAGAAAAAGCCGAUCUACAAAUAGGUCAUCUAAAAAAGUUUCCAUACUCAAGUCAAUUGAUUUGCUUCUUGAACUCACAAAUACUCAUCAAGAGCACUAACAUAGAUAGAUCUUUUCCUGAGAAGAUUGAUUCCUGACGGUAUUUCAAGCAAAUUCUGAGGAUCAUAACUACCCAACAAUAUUAGCAAAAAUGCAUUCAAUACAGAAAGUAAACACAGACUUUCUAUUUUCAUAAACAUUUGUUAAUUUAUAAGGCUUUGAAGUUAACUCUACUGAAUUUAAACUCUGGCAUCAUUCAUGAAUACCUCUCACUCUGUUUAAAGAACUUUAUUUUUAAAAUAAUUUUAAUUCAUUAGAUCAUACUUUAUAAGUUACCGAUACGACAGAUCUGAACUCAAGGAUCAGACAUUUGUUGCACUUUCAAGUUGUUGUUGUUUUUUUUUUUUAAACCAUCACAUGAUUUUUCAAAAUAAAACUAAACAUUUAGAUUCACAGUUUAAUUUGUUGAAAUUUAAUAACAUUUAAAAACACUAGAAUUUGAAUUGAAAGGGAUACAUGUUAAGUACACAAAUACUGAAAGGUCAUAAUUCCAAAAUGCACUUGAAAAUGGAAUGUGACUAAUUAGUCAGAAAUGUAGUUUUAACUUCACAUUUAACCUAGUUAACACCUUAGUAAACUCACCACUAAAUGUAAGAGAUAUAGUGCAUAUAGUGUGACAAAUCAACAGAUCUUGUACCAUUUCAUAAUGAGAACACUUUCUUGAGCAUUAUGUGCCAUAUUUUUGAAAACUGGUAAUACUUCAGAAUUUUUUUAGAAUGUGGAAGUAACAAAGGCUACAGUUAAGGUCUAAACAGAAAUAUAUUCUCUACUUGCCUUGAGAUUUUUUAAAGCAAUCAUUUAUAAGGAUUGCAUGAACAUCAGUUAGCAGAGGAAGAUCAAACUUUAUUGAAACUGCUUGCAUACAAAAUAUAUUGCACUAUAACCAAACAAAUGUCAACAUAAAAUCCAAUCUGUUGUAGCUAAUAUGUACAGAGAAUAUUGCCCAAGAGCAGUUACAUUACAAGGUCAGUCUACCUCGGUUAAUUAUCUACAGUAUUUUAAACCAAACAGCUUACAGAUGAUGUGUGCAAGGUACCAAUUUCUGUUUUCAAAUACUAUACAUUCCCAAAAUAAAUAACUAGAAAUCAACAUUAAUGUUUGGCAAUACUUUUUAAGACAUUUUUAUAUUUGUUAAAUCAUGUGCAGUUUGUUGCCAUUUUUAGUAUUCUCACCUGUAUGCAAGGAAAACAGUGAAUGUAGGAAGCAAAGAAACAAAACUCACAAAAUACAUCAGAGGCAAGGUCAAGUUUGUACAAUUCUGUACAUAAUGAGUGGCUCUCAUUCUGGAGUAAUUUGAAUAAAAAAAUGGAUUAAAACAGAGGUCCUUAUAUAGCUGUGCCCAUUAAGCUUAAUGUGUGAUGAAAAAUAAAAGAAAGCACAGCUCCUCCCACUGCUUCCCACCCUUCCCUAGUGUAUCACUGCACUUUGGAUCAAAUUCUGCAUCUCAUUCCAAUGGGCUGGUAAUUCAGACCUUGUACCUCAAAGUAUGAUGGAUUUGUUCCACCUACAGCAUCUCCAGUUACUACACCAGGACUUUCCAGGACGGCGAUUUUCUUUCUACCUCUCCUGAGAUAGUCCCCAAAUUAAAAUAACAAUGCAGAACUUUUUGGGAGGAUGAAAAACAUUAGCGCUUUAAACUGGUCAUCUGGCCAAACAGCAGGCACACAUUACUAGAUGUGAACAAAUUACUUUUGUUCCCUCAGUAACAA